rnacentral:rRNA from 1 species
UACGUAGGGACCAAGCGUUGUUCGGAUUUACUGGGCGUAAAGGGCGCGUAGGCGGCUUUGCAAGUCGGAUGUGAAAUCCCUCGGCUUAACCAAGGAAGUGCAUCCGAAACUGCAGAGCUUGAGUACUUAAGAGGAUCGCGGAAUUCCCGGUGUAGAGGUGAAAUUCGUAGAUAUCGGGAGGAACACCAGUGGCGAAGGCGGCUCACUGGCCCGGAACUGACGCUGAGGUGCGAAAGCGUGGGGAGCAAACAGG